UACGUAGGGGGCAAGCGUUGUCCGGAAUUAUUGGGCGUAAAGAGCGCGUAGGCGGUCCGAUAAGUCGGCUGUGAAAGUCAGGGGCUCAACCCUUGAAAGCCGGCCGAUACUGUCGGACUAGAGUCCGGAAGAGGCGAGUGGAAUUCCCGGUGUAGCGGUGAAAUGCGCAGAUAUCGGGAGGAACACCAAUGGCGAAAGCGGCUUCCUGGUCCAGUACCGACGUUCAGGCACGAAAGCGUGGGGAGCAAACAGG
rnacentral:rRNA from 1 species